rnacentral:lncRNA from 1 species
UGUUGUUGCGAGCCCAAUUCUGGUAACCCACAGAAGCGUUGGGAGGGAUAGUCCAUCCUAGAGCACCUCCAACAACAUGAGUCGCUGGCUGUCUUGUGGGAGCUGGUGUUGGUGCUGAUCUCGGUGUUGAUGUUGGUGUUGGUGCUGGUGCUGGUGCUGGCGUAGGUGUUGUUGCUGAUUCUGGUGCUGGUGCUGGUGCCGGUGUCGGUGUCCGUGCUGGUGCAGGAACCGGAGAGGGAGUACUACCGCUGGGCUGAGGGGCCGGAGAAGAAGGUUGAGGAGCAGGAGAAGAUCCCCUGGCGCUAACGUUGAUGGCUAAUUUCUGACCGCCGAGGCAGUGGCCUGGAAAUGAGCAAAUGAAGUAGUAUGGCCCAGAAG